rnacentral:lncRNA from 1 species
GUCCCUGAAGUGUUGGCAAGUGAAUUGAGCUGCUAACCUGUGGAUUGAACUGUUGCUUUCUAGACAACACAGAAAGGAGUUGCUCCAAAGAACCUUUUUGAACAGAUCCACUUCCCAGUAGCCUUUCUUUUCUACUACCUCAGAUUAAAACUCAGGAUGUUGGUUAUGCUACAGAAGUGCUCUACCCAUGAGCUACAUCUUCAUUCCCAACUUUUUACUUUCUGUUCAGUCAUGUAUGAAUAUCACAUAUGGGCAGAGUCAGAGAGGGUAUCAGAUUCCCCGGGAACUAAAGCUACAGAUAUUGUAAGCCACCAUGUGGGUACUGGAAAUUGAACUCAUGUCCUCUGCAAAACUGCUGAGCCGUCUCUCUCGACCACACCAUUUAAACCUUUGUUCUGGGUCACAGUAGUUUGUCCCCAUCUCCAUCUGAUUCCUCACUUUGCUGUGAUCAUUUUGUCCUCCUGAGUCUCCUUCAGGAGACCCUGGAGUGAAGGGUAAGUAUGGCUGGGUAGGGAGCAGGGGCUGUGGGAGUGUAGAUGAGGAUUUGGGGUGUGAGUGGGGCAUCCUUCCAGCAAGCCACCACAGCCGUGGGUGUGGCUAGUCCCAGCUGUGGCAGCUGGUUUUCUGUUUGUUGAGGGUGUUGGGGCCCUUAUUUUUUUUCCCCUUCACUUCCUCUGCCAUCGCAAGCUCUUUAACUCUUCAUUUCCCACAAAGAAGAAAGAAAAGUCCGUGGAGAUAUCUUUAAUUUAAAGGAAGCUGCCAGAAUGGAGUGCGCUGGCCACUCUGGACAGUACUUUAGUGUAGUAUCCAUUUGUUUAAGUUAGUCGGUGUGCACGUGGUGUAUGAAUGUGUGUGUGUCUGUCUGUCUGUCUGUGUAUGUGCCUGUCUGUUCUAUGCUGGGUUACAAGCAUGAAUUGCCAUAGCCUGAAUGGUCAUUAUUUUUCUGGCUAAAGCUGGGGCAGAUAUUCAGCUUCCACUGAACAACAUAAGGUUGACAUUGAAGCCAGGCACAGCAACUCACACCUGCAAUCCCAGCUCUCUGAGACCAAAGCAGGAGGUUUGCCUUAAUUUAAGACCUAGCCUUUGCUUACAGAAUGAUAUCUUAUGUCAUAAAUAAAUAAAUAUUCUGGGUAUGGUGGUGUACACCUUUAAUCCCGGCACUCAGAAGGCUCAGGCUGUCAGAUAUCCAUGAGUUCAAGGCCACUUUGUCCUACGCAGUGAAUAUCAGGAUAGCCAGGGCUACACAGAAAGAAGCUGUCUCAACAAAACCAAAACCCAACUAAACAAAAAGAAAAGUUGAAAUGGAGAGUCCUACUAAUUCUACUUCUUCUUCAUUUACAUUUUGGUUCAUGUGUCUUUAAUCUCUAAUAUUUUUCUGUUUAUAUAUACAUAUGCACAUACAUAUACACAUAUCUAUACAUGUACACAUAUCUAUACAUGUGAUGGUAUGUGUAUGAUGGCACAAAUGUAUAGGUUAGAGGUCAACGUGCAGAAUAUUUUAUGAUGGUUUGAUUAGGAAUGACUCCCAUAGACUCAUGUGUUUGAAUGCUUGGCCUAUAGGGAGUGGCACUAUUAGGAGGUGUGACCCUGUUGGAGUAGGUAUGACCUUGUAGGACACUGCCAUGCUUCCUGCCAUGGUGAUAAUAGACUGAACAUCUGAAACUCUAAACCAGCCCCAGUUAAAUAUUGUCCUUUAGAAGAGUUGCC